rnacentral:rRNA from 1 species
UAACGCGUGAGGAACCUGCCUCAAAGAGGGGGACAACAGUUGGAAACGACUGCUAAUACCGCAUAAGCCCACAGCUCGGCAUCGAGCAGAGGGAAAAGGAGCAAUCCGCUUUGAGAUGGCCUCGCGUCCGAUUAGCUAGUUGGUGAGGUAACGGCCCACCAAGGCGACGAUCGGUAGCCGGACUGAGAGGUUGAACGGCCACAUUGGGACUGAGACACGGCCCAG